rnacentral:rRNA from 1 species
CCUACGGGGUGCAGCAGUGGGGAAUAUUGGACAAUGGGCGAAAGCCUGAUCCAGCCAUGCCGCGUGUGUGAAGAAGGCCUUCGGGUUGUAAAGCACUUUCAGUGGGGAAGAAAGCCUUGGGGCUAAUACCCUCGAGGAAGGACAUCACCCACAGAAGAAGCACCGGCUAACUCCGUGCCAGCAGCCGCGGUAAUACGGAGGGUGCGAGCGUUAAUCGGAAUUACUGGGCGUAAAGCGCGCGUAGGCGGUCUGAUAAGCCGGUUGUGAAGGCCCCGGGCUCAACCUGGGAACGGCAUCCGGAACUGUCAGGCUAGAGUGCAGGAGAGGAAGGUAGAAUUCCCGGUGUAGCAGUGAAAUGCGUAGAGAUCGGGAGGAAUACCAGUGGCGAAGGCGGCCUUCUGGACUGACACUGACGCUGAGGUGCGAAAGCGUGGGUAGCAAACAGGAUUAGAUACCCGGGUAGUC